GUAGGUGAACCUGCGGAAGGAUCAUUAACACGUACCCAAACGUUAAAACCCCCCUGCUCUGAAGUGACUUCCACUGUCUGAAAGUGUCAGUGUACUUGCGUAAGGAGUUGGCGCAGUCAACAAAUCAAUGGGCCGACACGGCCCUGCGACCGGGACCCUUUGAGGGGUAAAACGGCUCCACCCAGAUGAAAAUCUGGCAUGACAUGAGAGACGGCCGGCGCCGAAAGGUUGUAGGCACAAACAACGAACAACUGUUAACAAUGGAUUUCUUGGUUCUC
rnacentral:misc_RNA from 1 species